ACGGGGAGCACCACAACAGGUGGAGCCUGCGGUUUAAUCGGACUCAACGCCGGGAAACUCACCAGAUAAGACAGCUGAAUGAUAGUCGGGCUGAAGACUCCACUUGACUAGCUGAGAGGAGGUGCAUGGCCGUCGUCAGUUCGUACUGUGAAGCAUCCUGUUAAGUCAGGCAACGAGCGAGACCCACGCCAACAGUUGCCAGCUCGUCCUCCGGGAUGGUGGGGACACUGUUGGGACCGCCUCUGCUAAAGAGGAGGAAGGAAUGGGCAACGGUAGGUCAGCAUGCCCCGAAUUAUCUGGGCUACACGCGGGCUACAAUGGGUGGGACAAUGGGUAUCGACACCGAAAGGUGAAGGCAAUCUCCUAAACCCAUCCGUAGUUCGGAUUGUGGGCUGCAACUCGCCCACAUGAAGCUGGAAUCUGUAGUAAUCGUGUCUCAAAAUGGCACGGUGAAUAUGUCCCUGCUCCUU
rnacentral:rRNA from 1 species